AUUGAACGCUGGCGGCAUCCUUACACAUGCAAGUCGAACGGCAGCACGGGAGCAAUCCUGGUGGCGAGUGGCGAACGGGUGAGUAAUACAUCGGAACGUGCCCAAUCGUGGGGGAUAACGCAGCGAAAGCUGUGCUAAUACCGCAUACGAUCUACGGAUGAAAGCAGGGGAUCGCAAGACCUUGCGCGAAUGGAGCGGCCGAUGGCAGAUUAGGUAGUUGGUGAGGUAAAGGCUCACCAAGCCGUCGAUCUGUAGCUGGUCUGAGAGGACGACCAGCCACACUGGGACUGAGACACGGCCCAGACUCCUACGGGAGGCAGCAGUGGGGAAUUUUGGACAAUGGGCGAAAGCCUGAUCCAGCCAUGCCGCGUGCAGGAUGAAGGCCUUCGGGUUGUAAACUGCUUUUGUACGGAACGAAACGGCCUUUUCUAAUAAAGAGGGCUAAUGACGGUACCGUAAGAAUAAGCACCGGCUAACUACGUGCCAGCAGCCGCGGUAAUACGUAGGGUGCAAGCGUUAAUCGGAAUUACUGGGCGUAAAGCGUGCGCAGGCGGUUAUGUAAGACAGUUGUGAAAUCCCCGGGCUCAACCUGGGAACUGCAUCUGUGACUGCAUAGCUAGAGUACGGUAGAGGGGGAUGGAAUUCCGCGUGUAGCAGUGAAAUGCGUAGAUAUGCGGAGGAACACCGAUGGCGAAGGCAAUCCCCUGGACCUGUACUGACGCUCAUGCACGAAAGCGUGGGGAGCAAACAGG
rnacentral:rRNA from 1 species